rnacentral:rRNA from 1 species
GCAGCUAUGGUAAUUUCAGCUCCAAUAGCAUAUAUUAAAGUUGUUGCAGUUAAAAAGCUUGUAGUUGAAUUUCGGGAUCAGCAAGUUGGUCGUGCCACUGGUAUGUACUAGCUUUACUGAUUCCUCCUUCUUGCAGAACUGUAAUGCCAUUAAUUUGAUGUUGCGGGGAAACAGGACUUGUUACUUUAAAAAAAUUAGAGUGUUUAAAGCAGGCUAACGCCUGAAUACAUUAGCAUGGAAUAAUGAAAUAGGACGCUCGAUCCUAUUUUGUUGGUUUUUAGGAUUGACGUAAUGAUUAAUAGGGAUAGUUGGG